AAUGAAUCUUUAUAAGAGUUAAGGGAAGUGCAAUUGUACUCCACAGAAUAUAGAUUUACUGUAACUCAAAUGCUGAGAUUUUGCAUAAAGCAUCUGCUUGAGGGCUGGCACUAGACUACUGGAGAUUAAAUGCAAUGUCUCAGUUUCCAAGACAAGUGACAAAUCUUGCCUAAAUGAGCUGUCUCUGCUAAGACAAGAUGCAAAGACUUUUGAAUGUAGUGUGUUUUGCCAGCGUGUGCGUUUUUGUUCUAAGGUUGCUUAAUCAUUUUACUUCAAAUCACUGGAAUAAGGUGACCACAGCAUUACUAGCUGAGUUGUACGUCAGUGAUCCAGUGCCAUUUAUUAUCUCUUUUAUUCUCCAGAAUCAGCUUCCAAGGCAUGUGGGAUAAUUAAGUGUUUUACACUGGUGGCUUGAGUGUUCAUCUGUCUUGCUCUGCUGUAUUGGAGUCAGUUGCUGUCACCGCCUUUUUCAUACCAUGUUGAGGCACAGCUUUGUAGCUACAAUCCCAGUGAGAUUAUGUAAACUAGGAGAAUUCUCAAUUUAUUUUUUUUUUUUUGUUUGUUUGAGACUUUUAUUCUUUCUUCGUGUGUCCCUUAUUAUCUCUGUCUAAUUUGAUGCUUUUAUCUGUUAGGGUGUCUUCCAUUGAAAGGCAGCUGAACCGAUUCCAGAACAGUGAUGCAUCCUGUGAGCCAGGGAGAAAUUCCACAGCCUCUGCUCGAAGAGGAGGACUAACACUGAACACCAGGAAAGAGUGAAGAGGAGGCCCUGGUGAGAGGACAACCCACAGAGGAGAGCAUCUGGACAUCUGUAGAAGAUGGUGAUACACCUGCAAGCUGAGGUGAAUGAUUGCCUCUGAGAGCUUCUGCUGCUGAGUCUUGGGGUCCCUUCCUCCCACCUCUUCCUGAUCACUAACUGUGAGAUCUUUCUAUGAGACACAGAUCCUCCAGCUGUCUGUAUUGUUCUUCCUAAGAUCCAAGUUUGAACAUAAAGUCUCAUUUGCUCAGCCAUUUCAAUCUGUCCUAGUUUGGUAACAGCCAAGAUUCUCUGCUGUCAUCACAUGGCAACAGCAGAGAAAAAUAUUAGAACGUAUGACUGGAGACAUCCGUGUUGGUUGCCAUCUUAAAUUUUGGCACAGAGCCAUAGAAAUGAUUG
rnacentral:lncRNA from 1 species